ensembl:lncRNA
GUUUCCUGAAAUAUUAUGUUUGCAUACACAUUAUCUAAUUAAACAUGCACUAAUUUGCAUACAACUCCAGAACGUAAAUGUGAACAUUGAAUAAAUCCAGGCAAAAUUAGCCUUUUAUCACUUCAUAAAUCAGAAUAUAUUGUCAAAAGCCAGAAAAAAGCACUGAUUAUCGGAAUAAGAUGUUGUAUAGACCAAGUGAGUGAUAUAAUAUAAACAGUCCCCUCUCUUUCAGAAUAUAUGAAUAAAAGUUUGGUGCAUGUUGUGCUGCUAAAGAUGAGAAGAAGAAAAAACAACAGCCUUUAAAGAUAUGCGUUAACUGAAACACAGACACAAACAGAUGAAGUGAAAUACAAAUAACCACUUAAAUGUGUAUUUCUGAUUUCUUUCCACCAGUCUGAAAAAAGACAUCAUGGAAGCAAACUAGAUCCAAAUCUCAGAAUUGACCAGUGCAUGAAAAUAAUACAGUUUAGUUCAAAGUGCAUUACACAUUAAAUAUUUGAUCAGUUCUGUCAGAGUUGUAUCCAACCUUUUCUCCAAACAUCAAGGCCAUCAGAUUUUUAUUCCAUGUCACCCGUGGUUUAACUCAUGACACGCAACACUUUAAGUAGUCAAACAUGUGCCUGUUGAAGAAACCAUAAGGAUGGGAAGAAGUGUUAUUGCCUGAGGACAGAGGCGAGUUUGGACAUGAAGUGCUCAAAGACAAACUCAACAAACAAGCACAAUCAGCUUUAUUAUGAGCAGUGUUGGUCAGAGGAGGUGCAGCAUAUCCCGCUUUAUAAAACAGAUUUAUUGACAACCGUUCAGGAAGUUUUCGGAGGGACAGCAUGAUGAACUAUUUCCUGCCAGAUAUAAUGGAUACGAGACACACAUCUUGAGUCUGUUGUUUAAUAUGUCUGGAAUCUGCUGUGUUUGCCGUCGUUGAAGCUGAAUGUGUUCCCUGGAGCAGCUUUAUGAUGGAGGAAUGCAGGCCUUUGAGAAACGACAGCUCUUCAUAACACAACCAGUCCAGCACCACUAACAUCACAAACUAGCAAUAGCCUAUCACUUUCUACACAACAUUACAUAGCUACAUAACAAAAAACAUUCAGUACCAUAGAUUUAGCAUUCAAUAUCAUCACAGUGCAUAUUUAUAAGUGACACCAACGUGUUGGUGGUGUUAUCUGACACUGAGAAUAAUAAUACAACCUGCAAUACACGCACCGUCCAGCAGAUGGCGGCGGUGAAACGCUGAAUAAACGGUUGCUGUGCGACGAGGACA